GGCGCGCAAAUUACCCAAUCCUGACACGGGGAGGUAGUGACAAUAAAUAACAAUACCGGGCGCGUUAGUGUCUGGUAAUUGGAAUGAGUACAAUCUAAAUCCCUUAACGAGGAUCCAUUGGUGGGCAAGUCUGGUGCCAG
rnacentral:rRNA from 1 species